rnacentral:rRNA from 1 species
GAUGAACGCUGGCGGCGUGCUUAACACAUGCAAGUCGAACGAAGCAUUUGGACGGAACUUUUCGGAGGGAAGAUUAAAUGACUUAGUGGCGGACGGGUGAGUAACACGUGGGUAACCUGCCUCGCACAGGGGGAUAACAGUGGGAAACUGCUGCUAAUACCGCAUAAGACCACAUCAGCGCAUGCUGAAGGGGUAAAAGAUUUAUCGGUGCGAGAUGGACCUGCGUCUGAUUAGAUAGUUGGUGAGGUAGAGGCUCACCAAGUCGACGAUCGGUAGCCGACCUGAGAGGGUGAUCGGCCACAUUGAGACUGAGACACGGCCCAAACUCCUACGGGAGGCAGCAGUGGGGAAUAUUGGACAAUGGGGGAAACCCUGAUCCAGCGACGCCGCGUGAGUGAAGAAGUAUUUCGGUAUGUAAAGCUCUAUCAGCAGGGAAGAAAAUGACGGUACCUGACUAAGAAGCCCCGGCUAACUACGUGCCAGCAGCCGCGGUAAUACGUAGGGGGCAAGCGUUAUCCGGAUUUACUGGGUGUAAAGGGAGCGUAGACGGUUUGGCAAGUCUGAAGUGAAAGCCCGGGGCUCAACCCCGGAAUUGCUUUGGAAACUGUUAGACUGGAGUGUCGGAGAGGUAAGUGGAAUUCCCAGUGUAGCGGUGAAAUGCGUAGAUAUUGGGAGGAACACCGGUGGCGAAGGCGGCUUACUGGACGAUAACUGACGUUGAGGCUCGAAGGCGUGGGGAGCAAGCAGG